CUGUCGUGUUAAGCCAAAAUAAUUUAACGCAUUGUAGAACUUUCAAUAGAUUUGAGCUUCUUUUGGAUUCCAUUGAAAAAAGUGGAAUACAAAAAAACUUAAAGCUCUCGGAAGCACUUUAAAAGCAAAUACGAUGCUGUGUUUUGGUUUAACACGGC